UACGGGGGGGGCAAGCGUUGUUCGGAAUUACUGGGCGUAAAGGGCUCGUAGGCGGCCAACUAAGUCAGACGUGAAAUCCCUCGGCUUAACCGGGGAACUGCGUCUGAUACUGGAUGGCUAGAGUUUGGGAGAGGGAUGCGGAAUUCCAGGUGUAGCGGUGAAAUGCGUAGAUAUCUGGAGGAAUACCGGUGGCGAAGGCGGCAUCCUGGACCGACAUUGACGCUGAGGAGCGAAAGCCAGGGGAGCAAACGGG
rnacentral:rRNA from 1 species